AGAGUUUGAUCAUGGCUCAGGACGAACGCUGGCGGCGUGCUUAACACAUGCAAGUCGAACGGAAAGGCUCCUUCGGGGGUGCUCGAGUGGCGAACGGGUGAGUAACACGUGGGUGAUCUGCUGCACUUCGGGAUAAGCUUGGGAAACUGGGUCUAAUACCGGAUAGGACCGCAGGACGCAUGUUUUGUGGUGGAAAGCUU
rnacentral:rRNA from 1 species